AUCCAGCUGGCGAGUCCUAAUAAGACGAAACGCGCGUCCUGGAU
rnacentral:hammerhead_ribozyme from 1 species